GACGAACGCUGGCGGCGUGCCUAAUACAUGCAAGUAGAACGCUGAAGAGAGGAGCUUGCUCUUCUUGGAUGAGUUGCGAACGGGUGAGUAACGCGUAGGUAACCUGCCUUGUAGCGGGGGAUAACUAUUGGAAACGAUAGCUAAUACCGCAUAACAAUGGAUGACACAUGUCAUUUAUUUGAAAGGGGCAAUUUCUCCACUACAAGAUGGACCUGCGGUGUAUUAGCUAGUAGGUGAGGUAACGGCGCACCUAGGCGACGAUACAUAGCCGACCUGAGAGGGUGGUCAGCCAGACUGGGAGGGAGACACGGCCCAGUGUGAUACGGGAGGCAGCAGUAGGGAAUCGUGGGCAAGGGGGGGAACACUGAGCGAGCAACGCCGCGGGAGUGAAGAAGGUCUUCGGAUCGUAAAGCUCGGCUGUAAGUCAAGAACGAGUGUGAGAGUGGAAAGUUCACACUGUGACGGUAGCUGACCAGAAAGGGACGGCUAACUACGUG
rnacentral:rRNA from 1 species